rnacentral:rRNA from 1 species
GUUUGAUCCUGGCUCAGGAUGAACGCUGGCUGUGUGCCUAAUACAUGCAUGUCGAACGAAGUACUUGUACUUAGUGGCAAAUGGGUGAGUAACACGUACCUAACUUGCCUUUUAGAUUGGGACAACCACGGGAAACUGUGGCUAAUACCAAAUAUGUAUAAUUAACAUAUGUUUUUUAUAUGAAAGGAAGCGAUUGCUUUGCUAAAAGAUAGGGGUGCGCUACAUUAGCUUGUUGGUAGGGUAAAAGCCUACCAAGGCUAUGAUGUAUAGUGGGAUCGAGAGGUUGAACCACCACACUGGGAUUGAGAUACGGCCCAGACUCCUACGGGAGGCAGCAGUAGGGAAUAUUCCACAAUGAGCGAAAGCUUGAUGGAGCGACACAGCGUGUAGGAUGAAUGCCUUAGGGUUGUAAACUACUGUUAUAAGAGAAGAAUAGCUAAAAAAGGAAAUGUUUUUAGUCUGACGGUAUCUUAUCAGAAAGCAGUUGCAAACUAUGUGCCAGCAGCAGCGGUAGUACAUAGACUGCAAGCGUUAUCCGGAAUUAUUGGGCGUAAAGCAUUCGUAGGUUGUUUAUUAAGUUUGGUGUUAAAAACAAAAGCUCAACUUUUGUUUGCAUUAAGUACUAAUAGACUAGAGUUAUAAAGAGGUUAAUGGAACUCCAUAUGAAGCGGUGGAAUGCGUAGAUAUGUGGAAGAACACCAAUGGCGAAGGCAAUUAACUGGAUAUACACUGACACUGAGGGAUGAAAGCGUGGGGAGCAAACAGGAUUAGAUACCCUGGUAGUCCACGCUGUAAACGAUGUUUGUUAAUCGGUGGUGAAAUCACUGAUACAGCUAACGCAAUAAACAAACCGCCUGAGUAGUAUGCUCGCAAGAGUGAAACUUAAAGGAAUUGACGGGGAGCCGCACAAGCGGUGGAGCAUGUGGUUUAAUUCGAAGAUAUGCGAAGCACCUUACCAACAUUUGACAUCUUUUGCAAAGGCAUAGAGAUAUGCUGGAGGAUAACAAAAAGACAGGUGGUGCAUGGCCGUCGUCAGCUCGUGCCGUGAGGUGUUGGGUUAAGUCCUAUAACGAGCGCAACCCUUUUCUUUAGUUACUAACAUUUAGUUGAGCACUCUAAAGAUACUGCCUAGGUAACUAGGAGGAAGGAGGGGAUGAGGUAGGUCAUCAUGCCUCUUACAUGUUGGGUUACACACGUGCUACAAUGGCAAAUACAAAGAGAAGCAAAAUCGUGAGGUGGAGCAAAUCUGUAAAAUUUGUCUCAGUUCGGAUUGGAGUCUGCAACUCGACUCCAUGAAGUAGGAAUCGCUAGUAAUCCUAGAUCAUCAAUGCUAGGGUGAAUACGUUCUCGGCUCUUGUACACACCGCCCGUCAAACCAUGGGAGUUGGUAAUACCCAAAGCUAGUUAGUUAACCAUUUAUUUGGAGGCAACUAUCUAAGGUAGGAUCAGUGACUGGGGUUAAGUCGUAACAAGGUAACC